rnacentral:misc_RNA from 1 species
UCUCCGUUGGUGAACCAGCGGAGGGAUCAUUACAGAGUUUUCACAACUCCCAACCCUUGCGAACCGUACCCAUUCUGUUCUCGUUGCUUCCGGCGGGUGGGACGGGGGGGCCCGAAACGGCCUCCCGGCUCAGCCCGCCGGGGGGGGCGGGCCCUACGAACCUUUAUAUCACAACCACCAGAAAACGUCUGAGAAAACAAACAAAAUAAUCAAAACUUUCAACAACGGAUCUCUUGGCUCUG